rnacentral:lncRNA from 1 species
GAAAGCCCUGCUCCAGCUCGGAGACCUGCAGUGAGGGCCUUCCCAGGGCCUGUGGGAUGCUGGGGGCAGGGAUUCUGCUUUUUGUCCCUGGGCUAUAUCUCACUAGCCGUUUGCUGGGAAGGCAGGCGGGGACCUGGACGCCCGCACACCCUCGAGGGCCUCCAGUCUGCAGGUCCCUAGCCCGGGUCCCAGGCAGUGUGCAGUGUGGACCUGCUUGGCAAGGACUCUUUUUAGACUCCACAUGUUAAGUGAUAUUUCUCAAAAGAAGACAUCCAAGUGGUGAACAGAUCUAUGAAAAAAAAAAAUGCUUGUCAUCACAAACCAUCAGGGAAAUGCAAAUUAAAACCACAGUGAGACAUCACCUGCCCUGUUCGAAUGGCUUAUCAAAAAGAUGAAAGACAGCAAGUGUUGGUGAGGGAACUGAGGAGCAGAGUUUCAAUACUUGAUCCAAUGCCAUGCAGCUGGCACAAGGUAGCUCAAAGAUUCCAAUUGAGGAGUUUCCUUCUGGCGCAGAGCUGUCCUGCUGGUUCCUGGAUCGUGGAGGACAUGAGGAGACUCUCUCUCCGGACCCUCUCAUUCUCAGCUUCACGCCGCCUGGGAAAAAAGCUAUUGAACUGGUAGCAGUCCAUUAAGCAUGGACCACAGCACAGUUGUGUUAUUUAUUGGCUCGAAAAGAGGAAAAUUGUACCAAAUGAUAUGUCAGGAGUCUGAAUCCCAGGCAACUUGCUCAAUGCUUUUACAGGAUGGGCUCAUGAAAUCUAUGCACACGUGAACACAAGAAUAGAUCAAGAAAGCAAGAUACACGGAGGGAAGGGUGCUUCCCAAGGAGCCCAGGAGAUGUCUGAGCACAGGGAGAAGAGCUGCCUGGGCCUCACAGCUGCCAGAGUGAGUGCUGAACACCCUGAGCCCAAAGAGGACUGUGUCCACUCACAGGACGGUCAUGGGUUUUCCUUUAUUUGUACUCUGCUGGCACUGAGGUUUCUUUUCUAAGCCACUGACCAGGAAGGCUGGGGUGGAUCCAGGCCACACAGGUCAUGCUGAAGUACACACACAUGGUUGUGGUUGUGGGGGGGUGUCUCUAAAUGAUUGCUUCAUAUCACAGGACACAGCCAGGGCUCUCUGCAAGGUUGCAGCAAUUCACAGAGCACCAAAGAAGCCAAGAGAAUUAGGGGUGGAAGUGGGGAAAGGCCCUUCAUCUGGGGGAUGGUGGAAGGUACAGGAAGAAGGCCUAGAGAAAGCCCUGGAGAGGGGAACCAUGUCUUGUGCAGCCAUCAGUGCACCCAUCAAACAUGGAGCCCAUUGGGUUUCCUUGAAAAUGGAUGACUUAUGUGUAUGUUUUUAAUAUCUCUCUUUUUCCUUUUUUAAUAAAAAAGUAUUAUCAUAGAGCAGACAGAGUUUACAGCCAAACAUAUUGCCAUGCAUUUUCUAAAAAUAAAAUAAUUGCCUUUAUAAAACAAGAACAUAAAGCAGAGAUGCUGCUCAGGGAAGGUAUGGCAAGAGAGAAGGAAAUGAGGCAUGCUCAAACUGGCAGAACUUGGGAAGAUGUGAAAGGGAAACAUACAAUCGUUUGCAGAUGUAAAGAAGAACGGACACUAUCAAUAACACAGCAGGUACAUAGAGGACAGGAUUGUGAAGAAAGUGAACAAAAGAAAAUGGAAGUAAAGAGACAUUGAAAGGGACUUGAGUAUGGGAAGUCAGUAAAAAGGAUCCCAAAUAUUUGUAUUUGAUGAGUCUGAAGGAUAAAAGAACUAAGAUCAUGAAUGAAAAAUUUUUAAAUUAAAAUUAAAACUUAAGAAACAUUUCUGGAAAAAAAAGAAGACUUGAACAUAUAGAUUGAAAGAAAAUAUUGUGCCACCUAGAAACUGCAUACGGAGGUCAACACUAAAGCAUUUCUGAUGAAAAUAACUAAAACCUGAUCCCUUUCCCUUGACUCUCUUUUUAUCUUUGAAAUCUGACUUGAGUCUUUUUCCCAGCUAGAAGAGAGAGGAGCUGGCCUAUGAUGUACUUAAGAAAGUUGUUUUGUACCUAACUGUAUUAGGCCAUUCAUACAUUGCUGUAAAGAAAUACUUUAUAAAGUAAUUUAUGAAGA